GAUGAACGCUGGCGGCGUGCCUAAUACAUGCAAGUCGAGCGAACAGACGAGGAGCUUGCUCCUCUGACGUUAGCGGCGGACGGGUGAGCAACACGUGGAUAACCUACCUAUAAGACUGGGAUAACUUCGGGAAACCGGAGCUAAUACCGGAUAAUAUAUUGAACCGCAUGGUUCAAUAGUGAAAGACGGUUUUGCUGUCACUUAUAGAUGGAUCCGCGCCGCAUUAGCUAGUUGGUAAGGUAACGGCUUACCAAGGCAACGAUGCGUAGCCGACCUGAGAGGGUGAUCGGCCACACUGGAACUGAGACACGGUCCAGACUCCGACGGGAGGCAGCAGUAGGGAAGCUUCCGCAAUGGGCGAAAGCCUGACGGAGCAACGCCGCGUGAGUGAUGAAGGUCUUCGGAUCGUAAAACUCUGUUAUUAGGGAAGAACAAAUGUGUAAGUAACUAUGCACGUCUUGACGGUACCUAAGCAGAAAGCCACGGCUAACUACGU
rnacentral:rRNA from 1 species